UCUCUCUCUAAAAUUACCUAUGGACCCUUAUCGAAUCAUGUCUUCCUCUUCUAAGAACCUAUGUUGACUUCGACAAGAUGACCUGAAACUGCUUUGAUAUUUAUGUCAUAUAUCAAAUCAAUACCGGACCUAUCUAAUAUCUUUGAAAUCCACUACUGAUGAACUCUAUUGAUCAGUUUUGAUCUUAAUCCAAUCCAUGCUCCAUGAUUCCUUGAUCAAAGUUGCU
rnacentral:lncRNA from 1 species